UACAGAGGUCUCAAGCGUUGUUCGGAUUCAUUGGGCGUAAAGGGUGCGUAGGUGGCGCUGUAAGUCGGGUGUGAAAUUUCGGAGCUUUAACUCCGAAACUGCAUUCGAUACUGCGGUGCUUUGAGGACUGGAGAGGAGACUGGAAUUCAUGGUGUAGCAGUGAAAUGCGUAGAGAUCGUAAGGAAGGCCAGUGGCGAAGGCGAGUUCCUGGACAGUUACUGACGCUGAGGCACGAAGGCCGGGGAGCAAACGGG
rnacentral:rRNA from 1 species